AUGGUGCAUGUCCCUCGCCAGAUCAUGAUGCGCAAAAAGUCCGUCAUGGUCUAUCGGUCAAAUGGAUGGUCAAUACCCACAACAACCCUGCUCCCCCCGGAGCAGGCUGAAGGCAGUGGAGCUAGAGAUGCGAACUUGCCUCAUCCUCCUUCUCUGGCUGAGGUCAUGCUGGAGGCCGGGAGGAACAAAUGGGAGACCAUCCGUUUGUUGGAACGCAUCGAACAGAACACAUCACUGCAUCAGAGGAAUAACUUGGUGUCGCUCAGUGACUUCAUCAAGUUACAUCCACCCACCUUCUAUCACUCCGUCGAGCCCCUCAACGCCAAUGAUUGGCUUCGUAGCAUUACCCACAAGCUACGUUCCGCACUCGUAGCUGAGGCUGAUAAGGUCACUUUUGUUGCCUAUCAUCUUGAAGGCCCCGCCAGUCUCUGGUGGGAGAACUAUGAGGCCAUGCGCCCAGCUGGCCAGGUCACUACUUGGGUAGAAUUCAGUGAGGCUUUCUGUGAACAUCACAUUUUGGAGAGUCUUAUGGAUCGCAAGCGUGAGGAGUUCUGCAGUUUCACCCAAGGUACUCUCUGUGGAUGCAUACAGCAGGGAGUUCGGUAA
rnacentral:rRNA from 1 species